rnacentral:rRNA from 1 species
UGGUUAAGUUAGAAAGGGCGCACGGUGGAUGCCUUGACACUAGGAGUCGAUGAAGGACGGGACUAACGCCGAUAUGCUUCGGGGAGCUGUAAGUAAGCUUUGAUCCGAAGAUUUCCGAAUGGGGAAACCCACCAUACGUAAUGGUAUGGUAUCCUUAUCUGAAUACAUAGGGUAAGGAAGACAGACCCAGGGAACUGAAACAUCUAAGUACCUGGAGGAAGAGAAAGCAAAUGCGAUUUCCUGAGUAGCGGCGAGCGAAACGGAACAUAGCCCAAACCAAGAGGCUUGCCUCUUGGGGUUGUAGGACAUUCUAUACGGAGUUACAAAGGAACGAGGUAGACGAAGCGACCUGGAAAGGUCCGUCGUAGAGGGUAACAACCCCGUAGUCGAAACUUCGUUCUCUCUUGAAUGUAUCCUGAGUACGGCGGAACACGUGAAAUUCCGUCGGAAUCUGGGAGGACCAUCUCCCAAGGCUAAAUACUCCCUAGUGAUCGAUAGUGAACCAGUACCGUGAGGGAAAGGUGAAAAGCACCCCGGAAGGGGAGUGAAAGAGAUCCUGAAACCGUGUGCCUACAAAUAGUCAGAGCCCGUUAACGGGUGAUGGCGUGCCUUUUGUAGAAUGAACCGGCGAGUUACGAUCCCGUGCGAGGUUAAGCUGAAGAGGCGGAGCCGCAGCGAAAGCGAGUCUGAAUAGGGCGUUUAGUACGUGGUCGUAGACCCGAAACCAGGUGAUCUACCCAUGUCCAGGGUGAAGUUCAGGUAACACUGAAUGGAGGCCCGAACCCACGCACGUUGAAAAGUGCGGGGAUGAGGUGUGGGUAGCGGAGAAAUUCCAAUCGAACCUGGAGAUAGCUGGUUCUCCCCGAAAUAGCUUUAGGGCUAGCCUUAAGUGUAAGAGUCUUGGAGGUAGAGCACUGAUUGGACUAGGGGUCCUCAUCGGAUUACCGAAUUCAGUCAAACUCCGAAUGCCAACGACUUAUCCUUAGGAGUCAGACUGCGAGUGAUAAGAUCCGUAGUCAAAAGGGAAACAGCCCAGACCGCCAGCUAAGGUCCCAAAGUGUGUAUUAAGUGGAAAAGGAUGUGGAGUUGCUUAGACAACUAGGAUGUUGGCUUAGAAGCAGCCACCAUUUAAAGAGUGCGUAAUAGCUCACUAGUCGAGUGACUCUGCGCCGAAAAUGUACCGGGGCUAAAUACACCACCGAAGCUGCGGAUUGAUACCAAUGGUAUCAGUGGUAGGGGAGCGUUCUAAGGACAGCGAAGUCAGACCGUAAGGACUGGUGGAGUGCUUAGAAGUGAGAAUGCCGGUAUGAGUAGCGAAAGACGGGUGAGAAUCCCGUCCACCGAAUGCCUAAGGUUUCCUGAGGAAGGCUCGUCCGCUCAGGGUUAGUCAGGACCUAAGCCGAGGCCGACAGGCGUAGGCGAUGGACAACAGGUUGAUAUUCCUGUACCACCUCUUUAUCGUUUGAGCAAUGGAGGGACGCAGAAGGAUAGAAGAAGCGUGCGAUUGGUUGUGCACGUCCAAGCAGUUAGGCUGAUAAGUAGGCAAAUCCGCUUAUCGUGAAGGCUGAGCUGUGAUGGGGAAGCUCCUUAUGGAGCGAAGUCUUUGAUUCCCCGCUGCCAAGAAAAGCUUCUAGCGAGAUAAAAGGUGCCUGUACCGCAAACCGACACAGGUAGGCGAGGAGAGAAUCCUAAGGUGUGCGAGAGAACUCUGGUUAAGGAACUCGGCAAAAUGACCCCGUAACUUCGGGAGAAGGGGUGCUUUCUUAACGGAAAGCCGCAGUGAAUAGGCCCAAGCGACUGUUUAGCAAAAACACAGCUCUCUGCGAAGCCGUAAGGCGAAGUAUAGGGGGUGACACCUGCCCGGUGCUGGAAGGUUAAGGAGAGGGGUUAGCGUAAGCGAAGCUCUGAACUGAAGCCCCAGUAAACGGCGGCCGUAACUAUAACGGUCCUAAGGUAGCGAAAUUCCUUGUCGGGUAAGUUCCGACCCGCACGAAAGGUGUAACGAUUUGGGCACUGUCUCAACCAGAGACUCGGUGAAAUUAUAGUACCUGUGAAGAUGCAGGUUACCCGCGACAGGACGGAAAGACCCCGUGGAGCUUUACUGUAGCCUGAUAUUGAAUUUUGGUACAGUUUGUACAGGAUAGGCGGGAGCCAUUGAAACCGGAGCGCUAGCUUCGGUGGAGGCGCUGGUGGGAUACCGCCCUGACUGUAUUGAAAUUCUAACCUACGGGUCUUAUCGACCCGGGAGACAGUGUCAGGUGGGCAGUUUGACUGGGGCGGUCGCCUCCUAAAGUGUAACGGAGGCGCCCAAAGGUUCCCUCAGAAUGGUUGGAAAUCAUUCGUAGAGUGCAAAGGCAUAAGGGAGCUUGACUGCGAGACCUACAAGUCGAGCAGGGACGAAAGUCGGGCUUAGUGAUCCGGUGGUUCCGCAUGGAAGGGCCAUCGCUCAACGGAUAAAAGCUACCCCGGGGAUAACAGGCUUAUCUCCCCCAAGAGUCCACAUCGACGGGGAGGUUUGGCACCUCGAUGUCGGCUCAUCGCAUCCUGGGGCUGUAGUCGGUCCCAAGGGUUGGGCUGUUCGCCCAUUAAAGCGGUACGCGAGCUGGGUUCAGAACGUCGUGAGACAGUUCGGUCCCUAUCCGUCGUGGGCGUAGGAAAUUUGAGAGGAGCUGUCCUUAGUACGAGAGGACCGGGAUGGACGCACCGCUGGUGUACCAGUUGUUCUGCCAAGGGCAUAGCUGGGUAGCUAUGUGCGGAAGGGAUAAGUGCUGAAAGCAUCUAAGCAUGAAGCCCCCCUCAAGAUGAGAUUUCCCAUAGCGUAAGCUAGUAAGAUCCCUGAAAGAUGAUCAGGUUGAUAGGUUCGAGGUGGAAGCAUGGUGACAUGUGGAGCUGACGAAUACUAAUAGAUCGAGGACUUAACCAU